rnacentral:rRNA from 1 species
GACAGAGGUCCCGAGCGUUAGGCGGAAUCACUGGGCUUAAAGCGUGUGUAGGCGGAUUUGUAAGUACCUUGUGAAAUCCCUCGGCUCAACCGGGGAACUGCGUCUGAUACUGGGUGGCUUGAAUUCGGGAGAGGGAUGCGGAAUUCCAGGUGUAGCGGUGAAAUGCGUAGAUAUCUGGAGGAACACCGGUGGCGAAGGCGGCAUCCUGGACCGAGAUUGACGCUGAGGCGCGAAAGCUAGGGUAGCAAACGGG